UUUAGUUCCCCUAAAGGGGAUGAACUAAAGGGGGAAGAAGGGGAAGGGGGGGUAAGGAAGCCAAGCUAGCUUACUCACAAUUGCGAAGCUAUGUAGUUGUAACGUGCGCUCUUGUUUGGCGAAUAGCGCAGCUCCGCUGCGGUAACAUAAUUGUUACAAUAAUGCACCUUACAGUGAGUUUAUAAUUAUAUUUCGUUUAGGCUCCGUUGUGACGACUAAAUACUAUUCCCCAAGGAACUCAAGUUGUGAGGGCCCUUGUCCCGAACUAUCCGGUUGUAAACUGGUUGGUAAACUUUACGACAUUAGGGGCUACGCCCCGAACUACAUACAAGCCAACAAGUCCGUUGGGCGUAACAUGUGCACUGGUUGUCCCCCUUCGGUUCCUUCCCUUUUUGUUCAUCCCCUAAAGGGGAACUAAAGGGGACGGAGGGGUUCCCCUUUAGGGGAAGAAAAGCUAGGAGCACCGCACCGGUAUGACGGAGGUAUGUUGUAGCUGUUUCAACGGACUUUGGUUUGUUUUAGUUUCACGACAAAGUAGUCACGGCGGAGCCAAAACUACAACUAGGUUUAGACUAUGUUAGGUUCCAGUAAAGAGUUAGGAAACAACUACAUUGUAGCUUAUGUUGGUAUAGUUAAUCCCGAAGGGCAUGUCAGCGGCAUCUUUGGCUGUCCCUUCUUCUUCCCCUUUAGGGGACUUCUUCCCCUUUAGUGUUCCCCAAAGGGGAGACGAAGGGGAAGAACUAAAGGGGACGGCAUCCCCUAGGGUAACCUUUGGUUCAUCCCCUAAAGGGGAACUAAAGGGUAACAAACUUUGGGUUUCCGAAGGGAAGGGGAAGGCACCCCUUUAGUUCAUCCCCUAAAGGGUUUCCAAAGUUUGUUCCCCUUUAGGGGAAGACAACCCCUUUGGGUUCCCCCCCCAAAGGUUACCCUAGGGGAUGACGUCC
rnacentral:lncRNA from 1 species